GACGAACGCUGGCGGCGUGCUUAACACAUGCAAGUCGAACGGCAAGGCCCUGCGUUUGUGGGGUGCUCGAGGGGCGAACGGGGGAGUAACACGUGAGUAACCUGCCCUUGACUUUGGGGUAACUUCAGGAAACUGGGGCUAAUACCGGAUAGGAGCCCCUGCUGCAUGGUGGGGGUUGGAAAGUUUCGGCGGGUGGGGAUGGACUCGCGGCUUAUCAGCUUGUUGGUGGGGUAGUGGCUUACCAAGGCUUUGACGGGUAGCCGGCCUGGGAGGGUGACCGGCCACAUUGGGACUGAGGUACGGACCAGACUCCUACGGGAGGCAGCAGUGGGGAAUAUUGCACAAUGGGCGGAAGCCUGAUGCAGCAACGCCGCGUGCGGGAUGACGGCCUUCGGGUUGUAAACCGCUUUCGCCUGUGACGAAGCGUGAGUGACGGUAAUGGGUAAAGAAGCACCGGCUAACUACGUG
rnacentral:rRNA from 1 species